rnacentral:rRNA from 1 species
AUACGGAGGAUGCGAGCGUUAUCCGGAUUUAUUGGGUUUAAAGGGCGCGUAGGCUGUGCGUUAAGUCAGGGGAGAAAUGCCGUCGCUCAACGACGGAGCUGCCCUUGAUACUGGCGUGCUGGAGUACGGAUGUCGUUGGAGGAAUGAGUGGUGUAGCGGUGAAAUGCUUAGAUAUCACUCAGAACACCGAUUGCUAAGGCAUCUGCCGAAUCCGUCACUGACGCUGAGGCACGUAAGCGUGGGGAUGGAACAGUGUUCGAUACCCUGGUAUUCUACGCCGAAAACGAUGAUGACUAACCGUUGGCGAUAGACAGCCGGUGGCCAAGCGAAAGCGAUAAGUCAUCCACCUGGGGAGUACGUCGGCAACGAUGAAACUGAAAGGAAUUGACGGGG